rnacentral:rRNA from 1 species
GACGAACGCUGGCGGCGUGCUUAACACAUGCAAGUCGAACGAUGAACCCGGAGCUUGCUCUGGGGGAUUAGUGGCGAACGGGUGAGUAACACGUGAGUAACCUGCCCUGGACUCUGGGAUAAGCGUUGGAAACGACGUCUAAUACCGGAUAGGACCUUGGAUCGCAUGAUCUGGGGUGGAAAGUUUUUUCGGUCUGGGAUGGACUCGCGGCCUAUCAGCUUGUUGGUGAGGUAAUGGCUCACCAAGGCGUCGACGGGUAGCCGGCCUGAGAGGGUGACCGGCCACACUGGAACUGAGACACGGCCCAGACUCCUACGGGAGGCAGCAGUGGGGAAUAUUGCACAAUGGGCGAAAGCCUGAUGCAGCAACGCCGCGUGCGGGAUGACGGCCUUCGGGUUGUAAACCGCUUUUAGUAGGGAAGAAGGGCUUCGGCUUGACGGUACCUGCAGAAAAAGGACCGGCUAACUACGUG